rnacentral:rRNA from 1 species
GACGAACGCUGGCGGCGUGCCUAAUACAUGCAAGUCGAACGCAGUGGGGACGGGUGCGUAACACGUGGGUAACCUCCCAUCAGAGGGGAUAACACUUGGAAACAGGUGCUAAACCGAUACUGAUUGAGUGACCCGGGGUGCAUUCGCUAGUUGGUGAGGUAACGGCUCACCAAGGCCACGAUGCAUAGCCGACCUGAGAGGGUGACCGGCCACACUGGAACUGAGACACGGCCCAGACUCCUACGGGAGGCAGCAGUAGGGAAUAUUCGGCAAUGGGCGAAAGUCUGACCGAGCAACGCCGCGUGAGUGAAGAAGGUUUUCGGAUCGUAAAACUCUUUUGGUAGAGAAGCGGUACCUAACCAGAAAGCCACGGCUAACUACGUGCCAGCAGCCGCGGUAAUUC